UACGUAGGGGGCAAGCGUUGUUCGGAAUACUGGGCGUAAAGGGCGCGUAGGCGGCACGGCAAGUCGGGAGUGAAAGGCCUGGGCUCAACCGAGGAACUGCUUUCGAGACUGCCGAGCUAGAGUGCGGAAGGGGCAACUGGAAUUCCCAGUGUAGCGGUGAAAUGCGUAGAUAGCCGGAAGAACACCUGAGGCGAAGGCGGACUGCUGGGCAUGAUCUGACGCUGAGGCGCGAAAGCGUGGGGAGCGAACAGG
rnacentral:rRNA from 1 species